GGCGAGAUGGCCGAGCGGUCUAAGGCGCCACGUUCAGGUCGUGGUCCGAGAGGGCGUGGGUUCGAAUCCCACUCUCGUCA